rnacentral:rRNA from 1 species
UACAUAUGGGGCAAGCGUUGUUCGGAAUUACUGGGCAUAAAGGGUGCGUAGGUGGUCUAUUAAGUCAGGGGUGAAAUCCCGCGGCCCAACCGUGGAACGGCCUUUGAUACUGAUGGACUUGAGUGCGUGAGGGGUAGGGGGAACGAGCAGUGUAGCGGUGAAAUGCGUAGAUAUCUGGAGGAACACCGGUGGCGAAGGCGGCAUCCUGGACCAACACUGACACUGAGGAGCGAAAGCCAGGGGAGCAAACGGG